UUUAAUUAAAGACUAGAACAAAAGAUUUAACAUCUUAAUUUAUUUCUUAAAUUUAUUUGUUUAAAUUAUCUUAAAUGUAAAAAGACAUUUAUUUAAUAGAAAGACGAUAAGACCCUAUCAAACUUAACUUUAGUUAAACUGGGGCAGUUAAUUAAUUAUAAUUUUAAUUAUUAAUAAACUACAAUUUAGACCUAAUACAAUUAACUAUUAAAUCAAGUUACUGUAGGGAUAACAGCGUAAUAAAAUUUUAAAGAUCUUAUUAAAAAUAAAGAUUGCGACCUCGAUGUUGAUUUAAUAUCCUAAUUAACGCAAUAGAAAAUUAAGGAAGUCUGUUCGACUUUUAAAUAAUUACAUGAUUUGAGUUCAGACCGGUGUAAACCAGGUCGGUUUCUAUCUUCUAUCAAUAUUUCUUCUAGUACGAAAGGACCUAAGAAAAUAAUAAUAUUAAUUUAUUGGCAGAAUAAUGCAUUAGAAUUAGAAUCUAAUAAACUAUUAAUUUUAAUAAUAUCAUCAAAUUUCAUUUUGAUUUCUAUUAGA
rnacentral:rRNA from 1 species